rnacentral:rRNA from 1 species
UACGAAGGGGGCUAGCGUUGCUCGGAAUCACUGGGCGUAAAGGGUGCGUAGGCGGGUCUUUAAGUCAGGGGUGAAAUCCUGGAGCUCAACUCCAGAACUGCCUUUGAUACUGAGGAUCUUGAGUUCGGGAGAGGUGAGUGGAACUGCGAGUGUAGAGGUGAAAUUCGUGGAUAUUCGCAAGAACACCAGUGGCGAAGGCGGCUCACUGGCCCGAUACUGACGCUGAGGCACGAAAGCGUGGGGAGCAAACAGG